GGCACAUGGCUUACCAGGAAAUAAAUAUUCUGCCCAUUGCUACGGACACGACUUGCUGAUCUUUCCUCCUCUUCACAGAAUCACAGAAUUUUAAAGGUUGCAAGGGACCUCUGGAGAUCAUUUAGUCCAAGACUCCUGCUAACGAAGGUUCCUUAGAACAGAUUGCAGAGGAAAGCCUCCAGGAGAUACCUAGUAAGCAUCAAAGACUUCAGAGUUUUACUGAACACUAAACUUCAUAUUUCUUUGAAGAUCCUCCCUAGAUUUCCUAUGAUCCUACCUACUUCAGCAGGAGAGGUUCUGUGGAGUGGUUCUGUGAGAGGGUAUUUGGUGUGUUCGCAUCUGAGAGGCAGUGGAAGAUUGGAAUAACACACACAAAAGGUCAGUGACUAUGGUAAGAAGAAAAUGAAGAAAAGAUGUGCAACUGCAUUCCUCCAUAUGAAAAAAAAUGGCACCCACUGACAUUCAUCAACAGUUGCUGAGCAUUUAUGGAGACCAAACUGGAUGUGAGCAAUGUGAGCAAUGACAGUGAGGCAAUGGGUGGUGUGUUUCUGCAGUGGUGACGGUGACAGUGGGUCACCUUCUGGUGCAGACUUUUAAGAGAGUAGAAUGAGGUUCUUGUUCAUCACUGGUGAAAAUGCAUAGCUAGUGGUGGUGACUGUGUCAAAAAUAAUGCUUUUUAGCUGAGAAUAUGCUC
ensembl:lncRNA